ACUGCCCUGUUUUCAUAACCCCGGAGAGAGCAGUGGCCUGCAGGACACGGCAGCAAAGACUGGGUAAAUGGUGGGAGCAGCUGCCGAGUGGAAAGCCCAGGAAAAAGGGGACUGACUCCUCUUAAGGAGGAAAGUGAUCGCUCUGUGGGAUCAAAAAAGGAAACGCCAGAUUGAAGCAGAGGUGAGGUUCUUCUCCGUAACUUCUCAAACACAGUAGUACGUGUGUCUAAUUAAGCAAGAUUUAGCUUCCAAUGCAAAGAUGACUGAAUACCCACCAAGUGUCAGGCCCUGUUCUGGGAGCUUUCACAUAUAUCCUAGGUCACCUGCUGUGGUGGAAAAUGAAGGCACGCUUAAGUUACUGCACAAAUAAAUCAAAUGUGAGCUUCC